AUGCGUUUGGAUAAUAUCCUUUUUCGAUUGGGUAUGGCUUCAACCAUUCCUGGGGCCCGCCAAUUAGUCAACCAUAGACAUAUUUUAGUUAAUGGUCGUAUAGUCAAUAUACCAAGUUUUCAUUGCAAACCCCGAGAUAUUAUUACUACGAAAGAUAACCAAAGAUCAAAAGGUCUGGUUCAAAAUUAUAUUGCUUCAUCGGACCCGGGGAAAUUGCCAAAGCAUUUGGCGAUUGACACAUUGGAAUAUAAAGGACUAGUAAAUAAAAUCCUAGAUAGGAAGUGGGUCGGUCUCAAAAUAAAUGAGUUGUUAGUUGUAGAAUAUUACUCUCGUCAGACUUGA
rnacentral:rRNA from 1 species